rnacentral:tRNA from 1 species
UCCGGGAUCGUCCAAUCGGCGAGGACAACUGCCUUUGAAGCAGAAGAUUCUAGGUUCGAGUCCUAGUCCCGGGGCCA